CCUGGUUGACUCCAGUUACCGGCACAGCAAGUGGUAAAUGGAACCAAGCAGCUCACGUGGCCCCUGAAUGCUACACGAAGGUCUCGCAAACAUGCGCUGCCGACAUAUUCUCAUUUGCAUUUACGGCGUACAUUUUGCUGACGCACAACCCACCAUUUAUUUUAAAACAAACCAGGGCUGAACAAGAGGCUGAGGUUACCCAGGCCCAAUUCGCGCAAACCCAAGAAUAUUUCCAGCUCCCUUCGGCUGCCCGAGAUUUUUUCUGCCAGGCAUUUCAAGUGGAAGCGUCAUUACGGCCAACCAUCCAUCAAGUCAAGGGCCAUCCAUUUUUUGCUGACCCAAGCCUCCACAUACCAAAACAACUACAAAAUAAUCCUAAAGUGGUGACAUCAAAUCUUAUAAAAAGACAUGUUACUCUCACAAUCGAUAUCAUCGGUGCUUUUCGAACAGCGUUACAGAUUGACCUUGGACGUCUAACCCAAGCGGUUACUAAUCUUCAUAGGCAAGAAAACCAGCAAGAAAAGGCAAACUUAUUGUUGCAGGAACUCCUCCAUUUCAGCGGAUUGAACAGUACUUAUGAAGCAUAUUUCUACCGCUUAUCCAUCUUCAUGGCUAAUUUACGAGACCAUUGGAUAGCGCAACAGCAGCUCAGUAACAAUGCGCACAGAAACCCUCCCGGAGAUGGUCACUAGGUGCAUCUGACCCUUUCUCCAGCUCGCUAUACAGCAAGCCAACAAUCAUAUUGACGUUGAGGAAAAAUGGCAGAUGCUGGUACACUUGUGAGGCCAACUAACUGUUAUACAUUCAAUCGCACACGUGUACAAGUCGUAUUUGGCUGACUCUUCUGCUGAUAUCAAGCCGGAGGUGGCAUCCAAAUGGAUCACGACGUCCUUUUGUUUGCUAUUUCUAUUCAUCAACAUCCUGUUAGCGCUGGGAAUUCGGAGGCACAAUUUCUAGUUCAAUUCAGCAACCAUAUCUGAACAGCACGACAGUGUCACUUGAAAAGAAAGGUCCCGACACAACUGUUCCACAGGAUCGCGGCCCACUACCUAAAGAGUCUUGAACUGCAG